CGAGACUCCCCUUGACGAGUCUCCCAUCAAUAUUAUCGAGGUCGGCGCCCCGGACUCCCAUCGUGAUGCUUCCUCUGCUCCUGGUGCCCCGGAUGCCCCCCUUCGAGACAGCCGGUCCGACCGACGGCAAAGGAAGAAGACUCGUGCUGAGAAACGAAAGUCGGUCGCCGCCCCCUUGGUGAAGGACUCGGUCCAAAUUGAGGACUUGGACGCUUCUGAGAACAGUCCUGGUGCCAGCCACUCUAACAUUCCGUCGGACGGGACCUUCGACCGCUUCUUUGCGUCUUCGUCGGGAGGCGGGCAUUUUGAAGACGGGCACCUCAAGGCUGUCAUGAAAGAUCUUCAGAAGACCCUUGACGGCUGUGCCGCCCCCAUCGAUCCCGUGACCCUUCUGCCGCGCCUUGGCG
rnacentral:lncRNA from 1 species